rnacentral:rRNA from 1 species
CCCAGACUCCUACGGGAGGCAGCAGUGGGGAAUAUUGCACAAUGGGGGAAACCCUGAUGCAGCGACGCCGCGUGAGUGAAGAAGUAUUUCGGUAUGUAAAGCUCUAUCAGCAGGGAAGAAAAAAGACGGUACCUGACUAAGAAGCCCCGGCUAACUACGUGCCAGCAGCCGCGGUAAUACGUAGGGGGCAAGCGUUAUCCGGAUUUACUGGGUGUAAAGGGAGCGUAGACGGCAAUACAAGUCGGAAGUGAAAUACCCGGGCUUAACCUGGGAACUGCUUUGGAAACUGUAUGGCUGGAGUGCUGGAGAGGUAAGCGGAAUUCCUAGUGCAGCGGUGAAAUGCGUAGAUAUUAGGAGGAACACCAGUGGCGAAGGCGGCUUACUGGACUGUAACUGACGUUGAGGCUCGAAAGCGUGGGGAGCAAACAGGAUUAGAUACCCGCGUAUA